rnacentral:rRNA from 1 species
AUUGAACGCUGGCGGCAGGCCUAACACAUGCAAGUCGAACGAGCGGCGGACGGGUGAGUAAUGUCUGGGAAACUGCCCGAUGGAGGGGGGUAACUACUGGAAACGGUAGCUAAUACCGCAUACCAUCGGAUGUGCCCAGAUGGGAUUAGCUAGUAGGUGGGGUAAAGGCUCACCUAGGCGACGAUCCCUAGCUGGUCUGAGAGGAUGACCAGCCACACUAGAACUGAGACACGGUCCAGACUCCUACGGGAGGGAGCAGUGGGGAAUAGUGCACAAUGGGCGCAAGCCUGAUGCAGCCAUGCCGCGUGGAUGAAGGAGGCCUUCGGGUUGUAAAGUACUUUCAGCGAGGAGGCUUUACUCGAAGAAGAAGCACCGGCUAACUCCGUGCCAGCAGCCGCGGUAAUAC